rnacentral:rRNA from 1 species
AUACGUAGGGAGCGAGCGUUGUCCGGAUUUACUGGGUGUAAAGGGUGCGUAGGCGGCUUAGCAAGUCGGGUGUGAAACCUAUGGGCUUAACUCAUAGAUUGCACUCGAAACUGCGGGGCUUGAGUGGAGCAGAGGCAGGCGGAAUUCCCGGUGUAGCGGUGAAAUGCGUAGAGAUCGGGAGGAACACCAGUGGCGAAGGCGGCCUGCUGGGCUUUAACUGACGCUGAGGCACGAAAGCAUGGGUAGCAAACAGGAUUAGAUACCCUGGUAGUCCAUGCCGUAAACGAUGAUUACUAGGUGUGGGGGGUCUGACCCCUUCCGUGCCGGAGUCAACACAAUAAGUAAUCCACCUGGGGAGUACGACCGCAAGGUUGAA